UAGAUAUUCUUAUGAUAUUCUUGUUAAUAAAGUCACAAUGCAUUAGUUCAUAGGCUUUAUUAACAAAAUGGUCUAAAAACUAAUGUAGGAAACUGGUCUAUUAAUCACAAGAGUCGUGGGCAGAUGAUAAUAAUAAUAAUAAUGAUGAUAAUAACUUCUUUUUUCAUCACAUUUAUACAACGCAAAGAGAAGCUGCAGAAAGACGACAGCAAAAUAAAUAUUCACAACCAGCUUUGCCGUCCACACUCGGUAAAUGAUAUACAGUGUUGUGUUAUUCUGCGUAUAAACGGACGCGCGGUAGAGAAUUAUACAUGAUAUUUUUUAUAUAUAUAUAUUUACACAGCUUCUUGAAUUUAUAGUAGAGGAGGAGGAGAAGGAGGAGGAGAGGGGAAGGUAAGAGAUGAAACUGGAUAGAAGGAGGAGGAGGAGGAGGAGAGGGGAAGGUUAUGAGAAGGGAAGAGAUGAAUUUGGAUAGAAGGAGGAGGAGGAAAGGAAAGAAAAGAUGAAAUUGGGAAGGAGGAGGAGGAGGAGGAGAGGGGAAGGGAAGAAGGGAAGAGAUGAAAUUGGAUAGGAGGAGGAGGAGGAGGAGGAGGAAAGGAAAGAUGAAAUUGGGAAGAAGGAGGAGGAGGAGGAAGGUGAGGUAGGAAGGGAACAGAUGAAAUUGAAGGAGGAGGAGAAGAAGAGUAAACAAAAGACAUGAAAUUAGAACAGAGGAAACAGGAGACAAAGAAUAAAGUAUGAAGAUAGGAAGGAGAGGAGGAAAAACAAGAAGAAUUACAUGCAAGGAAAAACAUAAUUAGACAAAAAGGAAUAAAAAAACAACUUAAUGUGAAGGGACAGCAGAGAAUGGAAAGGUAUCGGGGUUUUCAGAACAUGACCAAAAGCUGCUUCUCCUGAUAAUGUUUUUGAGCACAGAGCAAGACACAUCACUAAGAAUAUAUUAAGUCAUACACGUUAAUCUUUGGACAGUCGCUAUAGUAAUUAACAAAGGCCCUUAACCUCAAACACAGCGGGGCUAACACACACACACACACACACACACACACACACAUAUAGUAAGGCUUUCAUUGAGGCUGUUGUGUUAGUAUAUCAGUAUUUCCAUGGGUAGUUUUAUAAGCCUAGGGAUAGUUUGGUAAGGCUUGUGGCUGGGUUCUUGCAUAUAUAUUGGAAGUCUCGGAAGGAGGAGGAUGAAGAGGAGGGGGCUAUAUGUGUGUACCUAAGUAGCCCUAAGGUGUGUGUGAGGGGCUGAGAGAGGGAGAAGGGACUGUGGUUGAAGGGAAGACUUUAAGGAAGAAGAUAGAGAGAGAAGAUAGGAAGAGAAGAAAAUGGAUUGAAGAAAGGAAAAGAAGGUAGAAGGGAAGAGGAAGAAAGGAAUGGAGAGAGAGAAAGAGAAGGGGAGGAGACGAGAAAAAGUGUGUGUGUGUGUGUGUUCUUAUUCAUCUCCUUCCUCCUCCUCCUCCUCCUCCUUCUUUUCCUACUCCUUGAAAGCAAAUAACAUGUGUAAAUAUUCUCUCUCUCUCUCUCUCUCUCUCUCUCUCUCUCAUGUGUGUGUGUGUGUGUGUGUGUGUGUGUGUGUUUCCCCCCAUACGCAAAGCCCCUACCAUGUUUCCAGUUGACAUUGCCAGUGGCAGAUAACUUACUAACCUCUUCUCUACACUCUUCUACGACUCUCCGCGCUUCUAGAUACAAAUAACAGGUUCACACGAUGUUCGGACUCGCACGAAUGACGUUGAUAAAUGGAGGAGGAGGGGGCGGCGAGGGCGGGAGGGGGAGGGGGCACUUCUUACGAUAACUGUCGCAAAUGUACAUCUGGGUGUUUGUGGAAGCUGGACUCGGUAUCCUCGCCAGCACUAUGGAAAUCUUUGGUAUUGAACGAUAUAUAUAUAUAGACUAUGUAAACUAUGUAUAGAGCCCUAGCUAACCUAUACAUACUCGAUGAUUUAGUUAACUGUCUUUUCACUCGAGGAGGAAGAGGAAAUUCACAUGAAGUCUGAGGGUUCGAAAGCGACUACGACACGGACACUAUUUACAAGGUGACGGAAAGCUUCAAAAACAAAGAGUGAUGUGAGGCUACAGCGGCGUUCUGGGGUGACGGCACGGCUGGUCAGGCGCUGCGACCCUCCGCCGGUGCCACCAACGCAGAGUGCCACGGUAGUUGUCGUGUGGCGUAGGACUAUCGCGUGAGGCAGAGUGGACGGUAUACGUUUUUCCUAAGACACGAGAGAGGCACUGGGUGUGUGUGGGGCGCUGGAACCUCCUCCUCCGGCAGCCACACACCAGCCGACAUCAACACCAGAAUCUCCUAGUUAUCAAUCACCACCACCAUCGCUGAGUUAUGCAACCAUUUCAACACCAAAAUCUCAUCACCACCAUCGCUUUAUGUACCCAAUGCAACACCAUCUGCCAACAUCAACACCAAAAUCUCCUCAUCACCAUCACCACCAUCAUGUUACGUACCCAAUUCAACUCCAACUGCUCUCGUCACCACCAAAAUCUCACCACCAUCACCCGUAUCCAUUUCAACACCAGAUAUCACCACCACAAUCUCGUUGCGUCCCCAAUUCAUCACCAAAAUCUCACCACCAUCACCCGUAUC